UACGUAGGUGGCAAGCGUUGUCCGGAAUUAUUGGGCGUAAAGCGCGCGCAGGUGGUUCCUUAAGUCUGAUGUGAAAGCCCACGGGCUCAACCGUGGAGGGUCAUUGGAAACUGGGGAACUUGAGUGCAGAAGAGGAAAGUGGAAUUCCAAGUGUAGCGGUGAAAUGCGUAGAGAUUUGGAGGAACACCAGUGGCGAAGGCGACUUUCUGGUCUGUAACUGACACUGAGGCGCGAAAGCCGUGGG
rnacentral:rRNA from 1 species